rnacentral:rRNA from 1 species
UACGUAGGGUGCGAGCGUUAAUCGGAAUUACUGGGCGUAAAGCGUGCGUAGGUGGUUCGUUGUGUCUGUGGUGAAAGCCCCGGGCUUAACCUGGGAACGGCCAUGGAAACUGGCGAGCUGGAGUGUGGCAGAGGGGGGUGGAAUUCCUGGUGUAGCGGUGAAAUGCGCAGAUAUCAGGAGGAACACCGAUGGCGAAGGCAGGUCUCUGGGCAUUAACUGACGCUGAGGAGCGAAAGCAUGGGGAGCGAACAGG